UGAGGGAAUAUUGGGUCAAUGGACGGGAGUCUGAACCAGCCAAGUAGCGUGCAGGACGACGGCCCUAUGGGUUGUAAACUGCCUUUAUAGGGGGAUAAAGUGUGCCACGUGUGGCAUAUUGCAGGUACCCUAUGAAUAAGGACCGGCUAAUUCCGUGCCAGCAGCCGCGGUAAUACGGAAGGUCCGGGCGUUAUCCGGAUUUAUUGGGUUUAAAGGGAGCGUAGGCCGUCUUAUAAGCGUGUUGUGAAAUGUCGGGGCUCAACCUGGGCAUUGCAGCGCGAACUGUGAGACUUGAGUGCGCAGGAAGUAGGCGGAAUUCGUCGUGUAGCGGUGAAAUGCAUAGAUAUGACGCAGAACCCCGAUUGCGAAGGCAGUUUUCCAGCACGCGACUGAC
rnacentral:rRNA from 1 species